rnacentral:rRNA from 1 species
GACGAACGCUGGCGGCGUGCUUAACACAUGCAAGUCGAACGGAAAGGCCCUGCUUUUGUGGGGUGCUCGAGUGGCGAACGGGUGAGUAACACGUGAGUAACCUGCCCUUGACUUUGGGAUAACUUCAGGAAACGGGGGCUAAUACCGGAUAGGAGCUCCUGCUGCAGGGUGGGGGUUGGAAAGUUUCGGCGGGUGGGGAUGGACUCGCGGCUGAUCAGCUUGUUGGUGGGGUAGUGGCUUACCAAGGCUUUGACGGGUAGCCGGCCUGAGAGGGUGACCGGCCACAUUGGGCCUGAGAUACGGCCCAGACUCCUACGGGAGGCAGCAGUGGGGAAUAUUGCCCAAUGGGCGGGAGCCUGAUGCAGCGACGCCGCGUGCGGGAUGACGGCCUUCGGGUUGUAAACCGCUUUCGCCUGUGACGAAGCGUGAGUGACGGUAAUGGGUAAAGAAGCACCGGCUAACUACGUG